AAGUCGUAACAAGGUUUCCGUAGGUGAACCUGCGGAAGGAUCAUUACAAAUCCACACGUCUCAUCCGAGACCACGUUGAACGCGAAUGUGUUGUAUGUGUGUUGUAGUUUGUGGGUGAGUGAGUGAGUAGUAGCUAGAUGAUGAUGGUGUAGGGUGUGGUGUGAUAGAGUUCAUCUAUCGCGUCCACUCUCAUAUUCAUUCAUUUACUUGCUCGCUCGCUGGCUCAUUUGACUACUUCCACGUCAACGUUUGUACCUUAGUGGUGAUGAUGUUGCACAUACGUAUAUGUAUAUGCAUUGUGUGAUUGAUGGGGAUGAUGUGAGAUGGUGAAAUUCACACUCAGUUUGUGUGUGCGUCUCUCCGCUCUCUCUCUCUCCCUCUCUCAACCAACAAAACAACAACAAAAACAACUUAUAACAAUGGAUCUCUAGGCUCUU
rnacentral:misc_RNA from 1 species